UACAGAGGUCUCAAGCGUUGUUCGGAUUCAUUGGGCGUAAAGGGCGCGUAGGCGGCGGGGUCAGUCGGGUGUGAAAUCUUGGGGCUUAACUCCGGGCCUGCAGUGGGUACGGGCAGACUAGAGUGCGGUAGGGGAGACUGGAAUUCCUGGUGUAGCGGUGAAAUGCGCAGAUAUCGGGAGGAACGCCGGUGGCGAAAGCGGGCUGCUGGACCCCUUCUGACGCUGAGGCGCGAAAGCCAGGGGAGCGAACGGG
rnacentral:rRNA from 1 species